rnacentral:lncRNA from 1 species
UCCUCAUAGGGAAGAUGCUCCAGGCCCCAUAUCAUCUUUGUGGCCCUCCGCUGGACUCUUUCCAGGAGAUCCCUGUCUUUUUUGUACCGGGGAGCCCAGAACUGGACACAGUACUCCAGGUGAGGCCUGACCAGGACAGAGUAGAGGGGGAGGAUCACCUCCCUUGACCUGCUGGCCACGCUCCUUUUAAUGCACGCCAGGAUCCCAUUGGCCCUCUUGGCCACGAGGGCACACUGCUGUCGUCCACCAGGACCCCCAGGUCCUUCUCCUCAGAGCUCCUCUCCAGCAGGUUGUCCCCCAGCCUGUACUGAUACGUCCGGUUGUUCCUUCCCAGGUGCAGGACUCUACACUUGCUCUUAUUAAACCUCAUUUGGUUUCUUCCCGCCCAUCUUUCCAGCCUGUCCAGGUCUCGCUGAAUGGCAGCACAGCCUUCUGGCGUGUCAGCCACUCCUCACAGCUUUGUGUCAUCGGCAUACUUGCUGAGGGCAGACAUUAUUCCCUCAUCAAGAUCAUCGCUGAAGAUGUUGAACAAGAGCGGACCCAGCACCGACCCCUGGGGAACGCUGCUAGUCACAGGUCUCCAGCCGGACUCUGUGCUGCCAAUCACCACCCUCUGAGCUCGGCCAGUCAGCCAGUUCUCAACCCACCUAACUGUCCACUCCUCUAUCCCACACUUUCUCAGCUUUGCUAUGAGGAUGUCAUGGGAGACAGUAUUGAAAGCCUUGCUAAAGUCAAGGUAGAUGACAUCCACUGCUCUCCCCCCAUCUACCCAGCUGGUGAUGCCAUCAUAGAAGGCAAUGAGGUUGGUCGAGCACGACUUCCCCUUGGUGAAUCCAUGCUGACUACUCCUCAUAACAUUCUUCUCUUCCAAUUGCUUGGAGAUGGCAUCCAGAACAAGCUGUUCCAACACCUUUCCAGGGACAGAGGUGAGACUGACUGGCCUGUAGUUUCCCAGAUCCUCCUUCUUGCCCUUCUUGAAGACCGGAGUUACAUUGGCUAUCCUCCAGUCUUCAGGCACCUCUCCUGUUCUCCAGGACUUUUCAAAGAUGAUAGAGUCUUGCAUUCAAUAAUUUUAAAAGAGUUAGCUUGAGAGCUCUCUAGACAAUU